rnacentral:rRNA from 1 species
GUGGGGAAUUUUGGACAAUGGGCGAAAGCCUGAUCCAGCCAUGCCGCGUGCAGGAUGAAGGCCUUCGGGUUGUAAACUGCUUUUGUACGGAACGAAAAGACUCCUUCUAAUAAAGGGGGUCCAUGACGGUACCGUAAGAAUAAGCACCGGCUAACUACGUGCCAGCAGCCGCGGUAAUACGUAGGGUGCAAGCGUUAAUCGGAAUUACUGGGCGUAAAGCGUGCGCAGGCGGUUAUAUAAGACAGAUGUGAAAUCCCCGGGCUCAACCUGGGAACUGCAUUUGUGACUGUAUAGCUAGAGUACGGUAGAGGGGGAUGGAAUUCCGCGUGUAGCAGUGAAAUGCGUAGAUAUGCGGAGGAACACCGAUGGCGAAGGCAAUCCCCUGGACCUGUACUGACGCUCAUGCACGAAAGCGUGGGGAGCAAACAGGAUUAGAUAUCCCGGUAGUCC